rnacentral:lncRNA from 1 species
UUCAAUCCUGAGUGUAUUUGGAGUGCAUUGAAGGUUGUUUUGGUCGGUUUAUUGGUUUUGUUGGCUUUAAAUUAUGGCCUGGAUUAUGAGAUAAUCUCUCCUAUUCAAUUCUGGGUUUCGAGUCUGGUUCACUGCUGUAUCUGUUGGUGGUUUGCUAUUGUUAUUGCUUCUAAUUUGCCUACUCAUAGGUGUUUCUCUCUUGCUUC